rnacentral:lncRNA from 1 species
ACAACAGAAGAUCAUGCCUUAUUUGGACUAACAUGUGAUUAAAUUGAAAUAUUUGAUCACUCAUGUCUCUCAAAUCACUAAACCAAUAGCUUCUCAGCAGCUCAAUCACGAAGCAUCCAUCAAGAAGCAACAUCUCCACAAACUCAUCUUGAUCAAGACUGAUUGUUUUCGCGUAGUAGAGGCGAGCCUUUUCCUCCAUUCUCCUCACUUCCAACACACAUUUCUCAACACUCAACUCAGCCCUUCUUCCUAAUGUUUUUCUUAGAUACCUCAGCUUGUGCUGCUCCAUGGCCUUAACGCGAUCUUUCCCACGAUGGAUUGGGCCUAUAGAGACUAAUUCGGGUUCAAAAUCCUUUUCAUUUACUUGCCUUAGGUGUUGAUAUACUUUGGCUAUGAUAGGCUUUGAGGGAGUGAGAGAAGUAGACAAUUGAUGAAGCAAGUUUUCAAUCUUAACAACAACACUGUCUCUCUCCUCUGUCAUCUUCAAGAAUUAAGCCAAGAAACCAGAAAUUAUAUAUGCUACAGAAGAAGAAAACACCAUAAAAAUAUUAAACAUGUAGCAAUCUACAUAGGUUCAUUUGUUAUUGAAACUUACAAGAUUAACAAAAUGUCGAGCAUACUUACUAGAUUAGGAGUAGGGAAUUUGAGUAGCUGAAACACGAAGCCAAAGCGUUGAUAUUGUACGUUGCUGCAGCUGAUUUCUUCUUGUUACAUUUCUUGUAAGAGAACUUUCAUCCCCUCUUAAUAUGCAUUAUUGGAGUAGUUUACAAAGCGAAUCUUGUGGCGGAAAUUAAGUCAAUUUCCAAGAACUUUACUUUAGAUAAAGAAAUUAAUGCUUAAGAAAUUUCAUGUGAAAUUUCGUGAAUGUGGGUUCGGUCAACGAAAUUGACGCCGACUGUGUGUCUUCACAAUUUUGCACUUUGGUCAACGAAAGUUGCAGGGAAAAUCAAAAUGAAAACAACAAGGGAAAAAUAUUUUUUUUAAAAACAUAAAUUAUAAAUAAAAUUAAAAUAUAAAUAUAUUCGGUUAAAUCGAUCAAUUCGGUCCGGUUCGACGGUUUUGAUUGCAAGUAGGGCUGGUUUCGCCUGAAUCGGCGGUUCACGGUUCACUGGAACCAGUCUGCCUGAGUAUAGAGGUUCAGGGUCCGGUUUGAACAAUCGAUUUUCGGGCCGAACCGGUUAUUUUUUUUUAAUAUUAAAUUUGAAUUUGAGUAUUGUGUAUAUUUUCACUCCAGGAUCAUCUAUUAGGCCUAAUUUAUCAAUGUUUCACUCCAUUUUCAACUCAGGGUGCGUUCUGUUUGUUUGUAAAUUUAUCAUGAGAAAAUGAAGGAUAAACAAAAUUUCACCCUUUAAAUCUUUCCUUUCUUUUUCCACAUAAACUCUGCCUCAGGCCGGCAUUCGCCUCAAACGGUCUAAACAAAACCUCCUCACUUUCAAAGCCAGAGUCCUCAAAUUCCCACCUCUGCAAGUCUCAGGCAAGACAGAGUCCCUUCUGAGGAACUUGAUGGCCUACGAGCAGCUCUGCCUCGAUGAUGAUCAUCCAAAACACGUGACAGACUACGCGUUCUUCAUGCAUUGCCUCAUCAGAUCAACGAAAGACAUUGAGAUACUGCGACGCAGUGGGAUCAUUAGUAACUACCCUACCUAGGAGGCGACGACAACAUCUGCCUAAUGUUUAACAGAUUGGGGACAAACUUUCUCAUCAGAUCAUCAGAUUUUUGCUACUCUGAUGUCUUUGUGAGCUUGAACAGGCAUUGUGGCCGCCGGCACAAGAAAUGGAUGGCGAAAUUGAGGCGAAACUACUUCAAUAGUCCGUGGUCCGUGAUCAAGUUCGUUGCUGCUGCAGUGCUGCUGCUGCUCACCUUAACACAAACUGUUUUUGCUAUACUUGCUUAUGAGCAGAGGAAUGAUGUGAUGAGAGUGCGUUUGAUUUCAAUGUGAUUCAACUAUGUAUGUAUGUAGGGAGAAAAUCAUUUGUAAUCUUAUCAACUGUUUAUCUAAUGUAAAAGAUUUGAGUAAAAAAUCACUUCAAAAAUUUGUUUUCCUUCAAAAAUUUCGUAGUAAAUUACCUUGGAAUUUUAGCUAGCAGUAAAAAUAAAAAAUAAAGUGGAAAAAAAGAAUCAUAAACUUCAACUGAUAGGCCUAGUUUAUGAUUCUUUCUUCUCAUUCUCAUUCACUGCAAACAACGGUAGCAACACAGUGCACCACACGUGCUCUGCCUCGGAGAUGGAGGAGGCCGGGAUUAGGCUACACGGGUCGAGAGGAAUCACUCUAAGGGAUAUCAGUUUUGCCAAUGGAGCCAUAAAACUCCCACCAUUAUGCUUAUCAGAUAAAACUGAGUCCAUGUUGAGGAACUUGAUCGUGUACGAGCUCUGCUUCUUCCCUGAUGAUCAUCCGAGGUAUGUGAAAGAUUACUUGUUUUUCAUUCAUUGUUUCAUCAGAUCCACCAAAGAUGUUGAGAUACUACGACGAAGUGGGAUCAUCAGCAACUUCCUAGGCAGUGAUGAGAUGAUCUGCAGCAUGUUCAACAGAUUGGGGAAGAAUGUUGUGGUUUCAUCAUCAGAUUUUUGCUAUUCAAAUGUGUUUGAGAGUUUGAACAGAUGCAAACGGCUUCGACGUGGGAGAUGGAUGGCAAGAGUGAGGAGGAAUUACUUGAAGAUAUCAGUUGCUGUGCUUCUCAUACUAGCAUUUUUUCACACAGUUGUUUGCUCUUACAAGAAAUGGUUACUCUUAUCUGCAAACAUGUUGUGUGUGUUUAGCUUGCAUGUAUAUCUUAAUCUUAAUAAAUAAUGAAUAUUGGCUUUCUUGAUUUUGUUUGUANNNNNNNNNNNNNNNNNNNNNNNNNNNNNNNNNNNNNNNNNNNNNNNNNNNNNNNNNNNNNNNNNNNNNNNNNNNNNNNNNNNNNNNNNNNNNNNNNNNNNNNNNNNNNNNNNNNNNNNNNNNNNNNNNNNNNNNNNNNNNNNNNNNNNNNNNNNNNNNNNNNNNNNNNNNNNNNNNNNNNNNNNNNNNNNNNNNNNNNNNNNNNNNNNNNNNNNNNNNNNNNNNNNNNNNNNNNNNNNNNNNNNNNNNNNNNNNNNNNNUCUGUCAAACAUGAGGCAGAUGUUGUCGUCCCUCCUAGGAAGUUACUAAUGAUCCCACUGCGUCGCAGUACCUCAAUGUCUUCCGUUGAUCUGAUGAGGCAGUUCAUGAAGAACACGUAGUCUGUCACGUGUUUGGGGUGAUCAUCAUCGAGGCAGUGCUGCUCGUAGGCCAUCAAGUUCCUCAGCAGGGACUCUGUCUUGCCUGAGACUUGCAGGGGUGGGAAUUUGAGGACUCCGGCCUUGAAAGUGAGGAGGUUUUUUUCAGACCGUUUGAGGCGAAUGCCGGCCUCGUUCAGCUCCGAGGCAGAGUUUAUGUGGGCUAAUGAGUUCCUAUGUUCACCUAUGUAAAGAGUUUGAGUUGAAAAUGGAGUUGAAAACAGAGAUGCUCUGUUUUGAUCAUGUUGAAGAGGUGGUUCAAGAAGGAGAAAGGGAGCUGGUUCUCAACAGCAUCAGGUCAUGUGUGAUCUGGCUGAGUGUCGUGGGCUCGAAGACGGGGUCUUUCUCUGUCGAGGCGUCGGAGACCUGCAUGUGCCUUCUCACGAGCUCGAUGAGGAAGCAGCCAUCAAGAAGCAGCAUUCUCACAAACUCAUCUGCAUCGACAUUUAGAGGUGUUGAGUAGCAUUGGAGGGCCAUCUCUGUUUUUUCACUCACUUUUUGGACCAGUUUUGCUAUGGUGAGAUCAUCUCUUCUCUGCAGAAGUUGCUGCAGAUACCUCAGCUUGUGCUGCUCCAUCCCCUUCAGAUGAGGUUUCCCUCGAUGGAUGGGGCCGAUAGCCACGAUCUUCGGUUCAUAAUCCUUUUCAUUCACUUGGCGCAACCGAUCAUCCACUUCAAAUAUUUUGGGUUGAAUAGUGUUGUUCAAAUUCUCAAUCAAACCUUGGAUGUUGCAAGUCACACUGUCUUCUCCAUUUGACAUCUGUGAGAACUCAGCCAAGAAAGAUGCCAAAGUUUCAAUGCCAGCAACUUUGAUAUAUAGAUGAGAAUUAAACCUGCAAGACGCGAUUAUUUGGACAAAAGCAUAGUCACAAUUUGAUCAAGAUUCAAGAUGGAGGGGAAAGACUCAAUGGUGUUUGCUGUUUCUAUACAUUCUUCGUGUGGAUCUAGAUUUAUAGAUAACAUCAGCUUAAGGCUAGGUGAAGAGCUAAACAACUUAACCAGAGUUUGAGAUUUUGAGUCCGAAACUACCAAGAAGUUUCUAUGCACGAGAAAUGUAAUUUCCUAAAGUUUUGGUGUUUUGGUACAUAUCUCAGGUUUGAGAAGACUAAAAAGACAAUGCUUGCAAAUUCACUAGGAAAUUUCGCAUGAACUUUCUCAAGCAUGAAGUCUUUCUAAAGUAUAGUUCUUGGAAAUUGAUUUAAUUUCUGCACCGAACGCUCACUUUGUCAAUACAAUAAUGAAAAGAGGGCAAAAAAGUUCUUUAAAAAUAAAAUAACACGAAGAAAUCUGCAGCAGCCAGGGGCAGGCCCCCAAAUUUUUAACUUCUUUUAAAAUUUUAUAUAUUUACUGAAUACGCCAACAAUUGUACUGAAUAAAAUAACUUUAUUGAGGGGAAAGUUUCACGAAGAAAUCAGCUGCAGCAACUUUUCUCGUCUAAGGAGCAACGCUUUGGCUUCAAGUUUCAGCUACUCAAAUUUUGUUUAUCUUGUAAGUUUCAAUAACAAAUGAACCUCUGUAGAUUGCUACAUGUUUAAUAUUUUUAUGGUGUUUUCUUCUUCUGUAGCAUAUAUAAUUUCUGGUUUCUUGGCUUAAUUCUUGAAGAUGACGAGGAGAGAGACUGUGUUGUUGUUAGAUUGAAAACUUGCUUCAUCAUUGUCUACUUCUUCACUCCCUCAAAGCCUAUCAUAGCUAAAGUAAUCAACACCUAAGGCAAGUAAAUGAAAAGGAUUUUGAACCCGAAUUAGUCUCUAUAGGCCCAAUCCAUCGUGGGAAAGAUCGCGUUAAGGCCAUGGAGCAGCACAAGCUGAGGUAUCUAAGAAAAACAUUAGGAAGAAGGGCUGAGUUGAGUGUUGAGAAAUGUGUGUUGGAAGUGAGGAGCAUGGAGGAAAAAGGCUCGCCUCUACUACGCGAAAACAAUCAGUCUUGAUCAAGAUGAGUUUGUGGAGAUGUUGCUUCUUGAUGGAUGCUUCGUGAUUGAGCUGCUGAGAAGCGUAUGGUUUAGUGAUUUGAGAGACAUGAGUGAUCAAAUAUUUCAAUUUAAUCACAUGUUAGUCCAAAUAAGGCAUGAUCUUCUGUUGUUGGAGAACCAGCUCCCUUUCUUCGUGUUGAACGAGCUUUUCGACAUGACAAGGAUGGAACAUCCAGACGAUAACAUACACCAUCUCCUCCUCUUUCUAGCCGGAGACGUGUUCCCAUGGCCGGAUUCCUCAAUGCUCAACUCGAGUUCAGAUAUGUUGCACAGUGCUGAGCAUCUAUUAGGCCUAGUGUAUGAUUCUUUCAUCUCAUUCUCAUUCUCAGCCAAGUGCUUCACUGAAAACAACGGUUGCAACACGGUGCACCACACGUGCUCUGCCUCGGAGAUGGAGGAGGCCGGGAUUAGGCUAAAAGGGUCGAAAGGGAUGAGUCUAAGGGAUAUCAGUUUUGCCAAAGGAGUCAUAAAACUCCCACCAUUAUGCAUAUCAGAUAAAACUGAGUCCAUGUUGAGGAACUUGAUCGCGUACGAGCUCUGCUUCUUCCCUGAUGAUCAUCCGAGGUAUGUGACAGAUUACUUGUUUUUCAUACAUUGUUUCAUCAGAUCCACCAAAGAUGUUGAGAUACUACGACGAAGCGGGGUCAUCAGCAACUUCAUAGGCAGUGAUGAGAUGAUCUGCAGCAUGUUUAAGAGAUUGGGGAAGAAUGUUGUGGUUUCAUCAUCGGAUUUUUGCUACUCAAAUGUGUUUGAGAGUUUGAACAGAUGUAAACGGCUUCGACGUGGGAGAUGGAUGGCAAGAGUGAGGAGGAAUUACUUGAAGUAUCAGCUGCUGUGCUUCUCAUACUAACCUUUUUUCAUACAGUUGUUUCUAUGCUUUCUUACAAGAAAUGGUAACUCUUUUCUGCAAAGUAAACAUGUUGUGUGUUGUAGCUUGCAAGUUUAUCUUAAUAAAUAAUGAAUAUUGGCUUUCUUAACAUGUUGUGUGUUGUAGCUUGCAAGUUUAUAUUAAUAAAUAAUGAAUAUUGGCUUUCUUGUUUUUGUUUGUAGGGUAAAUAUCACUUUAAACCUCAAACUAUUUUCGCACUAUCAAUUAUAUCCUGAACUAUCGAAAAUAAUUUUUUAAGCCUUGAACUAUCGAUUUUGUAUCAAUUGUAUACCACAAAGUAUAUGUUUUCAAAUAGUUUUAACUGUAAUUUUCAAUUUCUAAUAUUUUUUUGUUUUAAUUUUUGUAAUUUUCAAUUUUUAAUUUUUUCUAUUUUAAUUAUCACUAUUUCCGUCCCACAAUUUAGUAUCCAUAUUUUCAUUUUAAUCUAUCCUCUAAUUUAGUAUUCAUUUCUAUUUUUAGUAAAAGUACUCCCACAACCCUAUAAAAUGUUGGCAUCUUACCUUACUCCAAUUUAAUCAUUCUAACACUCUCAUAAAUCUGAGACACUUAUUCAACUUACAACACAUUCAACCACUUUAUUAAAAUUCGUGUCAUUCUCAAUCUCAAAUGGAUAGUAAAUUGUGGGACGGAGAGAGUAUAAUUUUUGAAUUUAAAUUAAUAAAAAUUUUAAUUUUAAAAUUCGAUAUUUAUUUUAAUCUUAAAAUAUACUCUCUCUCCGUCCAUAAUAUCGUUGUCAUUUUUAUCGUUUUAGUCCGUCUGCAAAAUCCUUGUAGAACCUAAACUCUAUUCACAACAAUAUUCACUAUUAUUAACUACUACUAUUUAUCACUUUUUUAAAAUCAAUGUCGUCCACGAAAUCGCAACGAUAUUGUAAAAGAAGGCAGUAUUAUUUUUGAUAAAUACUUUCUUCGUCCCUUCUCAAUUGACCUAGUUCUUUUCGACACGGUUAUUAAAGAGACUGAUAUUGUAGUGUAAAGUAAUAUAAAGUAAAUGAAUUCAUAUCUUUUGUAGUGAAAAUUUAUUACUAAAAAAAAUUGGUCAAGUCAGGUGGAACAGGCCGCAAAAAAAAUUAGGCAAAGAAAACUAGGCCGAGUGAGCUGAGGCGAAGGGUGUAAAAUUUAUAGAGUUCAUCAUUGAACCUCCGCCGCGGAUGGGGUGACUUGGAGCAACCACUAUGGGGGAAAGUUAGGAGGCAGUAAAAUUACUUCCUCCAUUGUGGGACCGUUUACGUUGGAAAGCAAAUUGAAGGAAGCAAAUCAAAGCAAGUGAAAUUGCUACAAGUAUAGCAAAUGGUGGCCCCCUUCUUUAAUUGUUUGAUUUGUUGUGCGUGUCUUUUGUUUGAGUGGAUCAAAUGCUGAAAUGUGUUUCGAAAUUCAAUUUUUUUUUUUUGACAAAAUGGCUUCGCAAAAUGUGUUUUGAAAUUUAUAUUUUUUUUGACAUAAUUAUAUUAAUUUUAAAUUAUACUCCCUCCGUCCCGGUCAAGACGCUAUAUUUGCUUUUCAGCAUGGGAUUUAAGAAGUUGUAGAUUAAUGUUUUAAGUGUGUAAUAAUAAAGUGAUAAAGUAAGAGAGAGAAAGUAAUAAAGUGAUAAAAUAAGAAAGAAAAAGUAAUAAAGUGAUAAAGUAGAAGAGAGGAGGCAAUAAAGAAAAUACUUAAUUAGUGUUAAUUAAGUAUUUAAAAUUCCUUAUUUUUGUCAAAUAUAGAAAUGUAGCAUCUUCGUUGGGACGGUCCGAAAAAGAAUAUGUAGCAUCUUGGGCGGGACGGAGGGAGUAUUUUUUUUAUUUAAAAAAUAAAUUUAUUUGUGUAAUUAUAUAAAUUUCAUUGAAGUAAAAUAUUAUACAAAAAAUAAAAUACAUAAAUAAUAUAUAUGUAUAUAUAUAGUGAUAAAUAUAAGUAAUAACGAUAGUGGGGUCCAUGAAUAAUUAAAUACUCCCGCCGUCUAUAAAAGAACUUCUUAGGAGGGAGUGACACAGAUUUUAAUAAAAAUUAUUGUUGAGUGUAUUGAGAGUGGAGAAAAGGUAGUUGUGUGUAUUGAGAGUGGUGAAAAAGUGUUAUAUUGAGAGUUGUGAAAAGUGAAAAGUAAAAGUAAUUAUAAGUAAUGGGGGAUAGUCCAAAAAUAGGUAGAAAUUUUUUUUGUGAACGUCCCAAAAAGAAAAGGUAGGAAGUUCUUUCAUGAACGGAUGAAGUAUGAAAUCGUGGCACAAUAAAGAAAAUAUGAAAUAGUUGAAAAAUAAGAUAGGACGUUGUUGAGCUGACAUACAUAGGAGUCAUAUGUAUGCUCUUAGGGUGGAUGCUCUUAGGGUGGGAACCACUGUUGAGUAGCAUCGUAGUGAUGCUCUUACUCUUAGGGUGGGAACCACCUCUACAUGGCCUGCAAGCUGUGAAUGCUAUUAUUUCUUUGUCAGAGUUUGCCUCAAUCAUUGACUUAGAUAAACAUCUCUCAUGCUUCAAAGAUACAGCACCUCAAAGCUUCAAAUGAUCCUUUAUGUGAGCUCACAUUUCACAUAGAUGGAAAAUUUCUGGAGGUUAGCAAAGUUACAGCAAGCAUACCAAGACGAGAUCUAUGGUAAGAUUUUCUUCAUAUAUAUCAGUUUUUUAAGCUACAACUCCAAAUCAUUACUAUGUUUUCUGUUUUAUCGGAUGAAAAUCACGAAUAUUUUUUAAGCAAACAUCUCUCUCUCUAUAACCCAUACACCCCUCCAAUCUUUCCUAUAUACAAAUGAAUCUGAUAGUUCAUUAUUUUUUUUACUUUUUCUGCAAUUUCGAUUUAUUGUGAUUUAAUUUAAUUUUUUAUUUAUUAGUAAUUAGGAUUUACCAAUUUAAUUAAUGCGUGUAAUUAGGAUAUAUAUAUAUAUAUAUAUAUAUAUAAUUUAUUUUCAUUUUGUUGUAAAAAAUAAUACGGAGUAAUAAUAUUUUAUUUCAAAAUAUUACCUUUAAUAAAAUUAUAUACUUAUUUGUGAAAAGUGAUAUAUAGAUUAGCCAUAAAUCUUUAGGAUAGAAUUACAUAAAAAUAAAAAUAAAAUUAUAGUAUAUUUUUUAUAUAUAUAAUUAGAACUAUGGGUUGGAUCUAGAUCGAGUCUGGAUCUCAUAACUCCUACUUCAUAUCUAGGUUCAAAAAUUUUAAGAAUAGUCCAAAUUCAGUUUAAAUUUAUCGAAUCUGAUUUUUGCAAGGUCCAAAUCCAAAAAAAUAGAAUCUGGUUCAAUAUUCACUAUCAUCCCUAAUAAGAGAACUAUGGGAUAUUGAGUUGGAUGAAAAUAUUUUAUGUGAAAAAUUAGUUUAAAUUUAUUAUUAUUAUUAUUAUUAUUAUUAUUAUUAUUAGAAGCUAUGUCUAAAAUGACCUCACCGAAAUAAUCGGCAACCCGUUUGAUCUUCUGUUUUCUUUUUGGGCUAUUUCCUUAUUCGUCUUUUGUUAUUUAUAAUUAGAUGGGCUCAAACUUAUGAGAGUCCAAGCUCAGCCCAAUAUUCUUCUUUUGCUGUUUUUAAUUGAAUGGGCUCGAAUUACUGAGGGCCCAAGAUCAAGCCCAAUAAUCUCAUCCUACCCAAAAUAUAACCCAAUUUAUGACCUAGAACUUAUGCUAGCGGUGGCAGGCCAAAUGGGAUCCUCUGUACCAAAAUAUAGUGUAUACCACGUGUACCACUUUUCAUUUUUUUAUAUUUUAAAAUUAUUUUUUAUUCAAUUUUAAUUUAUUAUGCUUUUAUAUAAUAUAAAGAUAAUUAACAAGGGUUCACUCAUCCAUUUAGGGUUUAUAAUUAUUUUUUUUAUAUUUAUUUGAAUUAAUAAUAGAAUAUUUGGGUUCAUUUAAUUCAAAGUUAGGGUAUAUAAUUUUUUAAAUUUAUUAUUUGAUGUGAAAAAUUAGUUUAAAUUUAUUAUUGUUAUUAUUAAAUUAGAAGCUAUGUCUAAAAUGACCUCACCGAAAUAAUCGGCAACCCUUUUGAUCUUUUGUUUUCUUUUCGGCCUAUUUCCUUCUUCGUCUUUUGUUAUUUAUAAUUAGAUGGGCUCAAACUAAUGAGAAUCCAAGCUCAGCCCAAUAUUCUUCUUUUGCUGUUUUUAAUUGAUGGGCUCGAAUUAAUGAGGGCCCAAGCCCAAUAAUCUCAGCCUACCCAAAUAGUUAGACCGGGGAAAUAUAACCCAAUUUAUGACCUAGAACUUAUGCUGGCGGUGGCAGGCGGGUUUGUAAUGAACUCGAGCUAAGUAAUAAUUUUAUUACGUAAAUUUUUGCUUCUCAUACAACUUGCACUUAUAUGCUUCAUUUUAUUUAAGAUGAUACGUUUAUCUACUAAAAUAAUGCAUUCACAAUAAUCUUUAUAAUCGUAUAAUUGAAAAUACUGAUCGUUGGACGUCCAAGGUCCAACCAAUCUCACUGAAUUUGAACGCCCAAACGAUGAGUAAUUUUGGCGUCCAAAGGUCCAACCAACAAAAAUAAAACAUGCAAAUUAACCUAAUGACCUAACAAAAUAUGAGUUCCAUUUUCCCAUUGAAUUUGGCCUAUAUUUUAGGUCAAUUAAAAUGGGUCGAAUGGAUUUAUUGUAAAUUAAGUAAAUACCAAAAAUGAAAAACUCUUAAUUCAUGAAUAGAAUCCAUCUACUUAGCUCAUCUUCCAAUUCUCUCAAAGUAGGCCUUUCCUCCACUGCUCCGCCACUCUCCUCAUCAUCAACAGCUCCAGACACCGAAUCUCCCCCAUUUUCCGACGCCCUCCGCCACGGAAGAAGUUGGAGCAGCACCGCUUUCGCGCGGGGAAGAACGCCUGCGCCGCCGCGCAUGAAGCCGGAAAGCGCGCGGUUCCCAUCUACGUGGUGCUCGUAAACUAGUAAGGGAAAACUCGUCUCCAAACAGCAGCCCGAAAUCCUAAUUACAUUUCCGCCGCGUAUAGAGCGACGGAUCACCUCGUCGAUGAACUGCUCGAUUUUCGAUUCCGGCACCAGCGACGGAAUCUUCAUCACGGCGGCCUCUCGACUAUUCUCGAAGGUUCCGCGGUAGAAUUCCCCCCGCUCGCUGUAAUUGUUAGUGGCGUUCUCCAUUUCCUGAGCUGCGUAUAUUUUGAGGUGCGCAGAUCCCUCGCGCUUGGAUAGCUUCUUCUUCAAUAUGUUUCCGCCAUUUCUGUCGAACAAGCUCAUUCUGUGGCGCUCGAGCUUCCUUCUCUGAUGCGACCAAACGAUCCAAGUGCUCGCGAAGAGGGGCGGGAGCACCAACACCCCCAAUAAGUAGGGGAUUUUAGAGUCGAUGUAGAUUCCAUGGCCGCUCCGCAAGGCGGAGGUAGUUUCGGUGAGGGAGGAAGAGAGGGUGAGAAAGAAAAUCAGCAACUUGAGAAGCUUCGAAUUGUGGAGAGAGAUUUUGAGAGACAUCGUGGAAGGUGGUGAAAAUCAGCGUUCUCGGCUUUCGUUUUGAUGCCUCUCUUUGCAAUUUACACUCUGAUGUACUGAAUCGUUGGUCUGGCGGUUUGCUUAUUUUGGUGGUAGUUUGAAUUGAAUAUUGGUUGAUGAUUUUCUGAAACUCGUAUAUGGGUUUAAUGUGUGCUUUUCUAGUCAACGAACAGGAAAUUUCUAUCUUACCUUUAUGGGAAUUCUCUUAUUCAACUUUUUGCAUGUGUUUGUUUGCCACAAUUCUAAGUUUCUCUGGUGAUUAAUCAGUAUUUUGUUUCUGUCUAGGUAGAUUGAUUAGUCUUGUAGAACUUAGAAGAAGGCCUGAAUGGAAAGCAAAAUCUGCGGAUCCAUAAAAUCUGUUGUGAACCUUCAAAUUCGAUGCAAUAAUCAUUUUGUUGUGAACCUUCAAAUUCGAUGUGGAGUCCAUAAAAUCUGUAGUUCUCCUGGAGCGGAUCCUGUAUAGAAUCCAGAAAUUUUCAGACAUGUAGAUGUUUAAUUCUAAUUGUUAAGAUGCAUAUGGACAUUUAUACGUUUUAGAGGUUGCAUGAAAACUACACUAGUUAUUGAGUUUUCCAAUUUAUCUCCUAAUAAUUUAUAUAAUGUGCUUAUGUGUUUGGCUUCAGUUUCUGAACUUUGUGUCUGACGAAACUAUUUACAUUUGGUUUUCUAGAUUGCAGUUGCUCUUGCUGUUGCAGCCAUCCCUGAAGGGCUACCUGCUGUUGUUACAACGUUAGUUCUUUAUUCUGUUUUACAUAACAUGUCAUAUGUACAUCAGCAUUCUCAUACCGUUUUUCUCGGAAAAGACCUGGCAAAUGUGGCAAGGGAUUGGCUUUGAUAAUGAGUUGUUGGACAAAUCACUGAGCAACUUAUUGGAAGACCUCUGAAUCUGUUUGUCACAUGCUCUGUACGAUUUGCUAUAGUAUCUGUCAUGGAUUUGUGAGAACUUUUAGCAGGCACUCCCUGUUAGCUCUAUUUCAGAGUAUAGUUAUUGUUUGCCUUCUAAUUGGCUACCUUUGUUCGGGUAAUAGUAAUCAGUUUCUUUUGUCUGUAUUCUAUUCCCUCGUAUUGUCCUAGAUACAACAAUUCCAAGUUUAAAUAUGCUUGACCUGUUCUAGCAUCCUUGAGAAUACAUUUUGCUCAAAGUAUAAGGUGUAGGCAUAGGUCCUACUGCAAGUAUUUUUGAUUGAAUAUAUUUUCGGUAGAGGAUUAUUUAGUAUGUUCUAUAGUAGGUAAUAAACAACUAUUAAAAAGGCUUGCAAGAAAGAUCACUUUUUGGCUCAUGAAGGUUGGCUAUGGGUUUACUAGGUUAUUGUCUUAGGUAGGCCAGAUAAGGAUGCUUAUUCAGUCUCUUACUUUCACCCAGCAGUGUUGAUAUACUUGCAGAUAAAGAGAAACUUACUUUCACCUCUGUUUUUUGAGGAAAUGCUGAUUGUUUCAAAUCCAUGCUUAAGAAGCAGCUUAGCUUUCUGCCUUACACAUCUUAAUUUCUCUGAGUGUCAGCAGGUGUCUAGCUCUUGGAACGAAACGAAUGGCUCGUUUAAAUGCUAUAGUUAGGGCGUUGCCAUCAGUAGAGACCUUAGGCUGUACAACAGUGAUUUGCAGUGACAAGACUGGUACUCUGACUACUAAUAUGAUGUUUGUCUCGAAGGUAUCAAUUUACACACAAUAAUCCUUCGUUCUUCUUUUACUUCUUUUAUUUUCCUCUGGGUUAUACUUUUUUUAAGGUUGAGAAGGGGGAAUAUAUGCUUUGGAAUGUUUCUCCUUUAUUAGCUUUGUCAGAAGCUCUGAUAAAUUUCUCUACACUUCUUACAUUUUAGCACUUAUGGUUUCACGUAAUGCUAGACUAAUUAAUUUUUUGUAUUUUUCCCCAUCAAGCUUCAAUUAUUCUGCCCAUGUGUUUAAGUGUGCAUAUACUUAUUUACACCAAUAUGUUAUUAUGUACUGCAUAUUUUCUUACAACUACUUUCACUGUAAAAGUUGAUUAAAAUGGCAUUGCUACUUUGAAUCACUAGGAAUUCCCCAUUUUUUGUGAGGACCAUUGUGAUGUUUAUAUCGAAAGUGGCAGACUGUGUCAGCCUUCCUAAAGAACUAAUAUUAAGUAUAACAUCUGCUUUCUCUUUGCAGGUAUCUGUGCUCCAUUCUGCAAAUCAUGUUCCUGUUGUAUUAAUACAUGUAAGUGGCACCACAUAUGCUCCAGAAGGUACUAUCUCCGACAGCACUACAGAGCUACAGGUAGUGUUCUAUUCAUGACAUUAGGUUUGUAUUUAUUGAUUGAUUAUAAGUUUAACACUAGACCAGUUUUCGAAAUAUCAAUAGUUAGUGCAAUGGAUUUUGUACCAGCAUUAUUUAUCUUGAAAAAAUCAUGUUUUCUUAUCAACUUAUAUUUAGUUUCAUAUCUUCUACAAUGUAUUGAUGUUUCUGACUGCUGUCUAAAAUUUGUCUACUUUGUACUUUGUUAUUCCAUAUGGUCACAGAUUCUUCUUCUCCCCUUGCUUGCUUACCAAUCCAACUACAAUUUUUUUUUUGAGAACCACCAUCUACCAAAAAUUUAUUAAAGGAUAUAUGCACCUUUUUCCUGAUUAUUUUGGCUUAUUAUCUUUCAUAUACUCUUUCGAAGGACCCUGUUUUCCCCUCUUUAUAGCUCAUCCAAUCUCCCUAGGCUCUGUCUAGGUUCCAGGUGGCCUUUUACCGUUCCUGCUUUUCCAAAUUCACCUUGCUCAGCCCUGCUGGACAGCUGGCUCCUUUUAGAAUAUUGAGCUUCUACUAUUUUUACAUGAUUCUUACUUGUCUAUUUUUAUUUUGGGUUUAUUAUAGUCAUAUAUUGACAACUUUUAUGUUUGUUAUUUGUAUUAUUUGUUGUAGUUAUUCUUAAUGUAAGAUUUAUCUGGGACCUAAUGCAGCUUGGGCUUCCAGCUAAUUUUCACUGUCUUCUACACACAGCAAUGUGCUCUGCCCUUUGCAAUGAAUCUAUUAAUCAGAGGCAUGUCUGACUGAAACAUAAGGAAGUUUGGACAACCAUCUGGUUGCACCAUUUCGUUAGUGGGUAUAAUUUCCAACUAUUUAGAUAUGGAACCUGUUGUCCAAUUACCACUUGUGAUAUCCUCACCAGUCUAUGGCAGGCAGUAUUAUAGCUAAAGUCAAUGAUGUUGUUGGUUUGAGGAAUUCAACCACAUGCUUAUUUAUGGAAUGAGGAAUGAGUCUUUCAUAUGUGGCUAUUUUUUUCAAACUGCCACUAAUGUUGUACUUAAAUACUAGCUUCUUGCAAUUUUUCCAUAGAAUUCUGUCAUAUGUAGUACCACAUUCGCUAAAAUGAUCCAGGGAAAAUGCAUAACAUGGAAUAUGACCACCUUCACCCUACAGGGAAUGUAUUGUUAUAGUUUCGGAGGUUUUUCUCUUGUCCUUGUACCAGUUAAUCCAUCUAGCUAAGUGACUGUCACUAUACUGAAUUUCAUGUAGCCUCUGCCUUUUUAAUGAAAUUUCACUGUCACAUCUUUUUUACUGUAUUUAUAUGGUUGAGUAGCUUUCUCAUCUUCUUGUCCUCAAGGAGGCCGAGAAAGAAAAAAAAAUGAAAGAAAAUGAAAUAGUUGUGUGAAAAUACUUGUAGAAAAUAUUAAAUCGGAAGAUGAGUUAAUUUUCUUUAAAUAUUGUAUUUUGUUGAAGCUUGUACUUCCAUGUUAGAUAACUUCUGAUCGUAUCUAUCAGAAAAAACUGCAAAUGACCUAUUAAGCAACUUGGCCUCGUACCUAAUGGACCAAAGAUUCGUGGGCUCGAUAAUUCCUUGGUUACAGCAGGCAAGUUCUUUUGGUUGCACUAUUUAUAACUAUAUGAAAUCAUCCAUAUCCGUAACAAAUGAUUAGCAUGUUAUCUAAAUGAUCACUCUGUUUUCAUCAGCUUGUGGAUCUCAGUAACAUCCACGGACCAACCUACCUGGUGCUCUCCUCGAAGACGAAACAAGAAUUCUUAUAUGGAGUCCAGGAGGCUGCCAAAUUGGAGAUAUUCAAUCCUGCAGAGAGAAGAUGCCUUACUGAAAUAGGCAAAAUGUUGUGCCAGUUUUGGGGUUAAGACAUUUUUACAUGUUUGAAUCUCUUAAGUGGAGUUCAUUUCUGUAUUGUAAUUCAAAUCAGAAAUCUUGCACAUUAUUUGAUGUGAAGGCUGGGAUCUGAUUAGUAAUAGGUCGUGUUGAAGUUGUAUAAACAAAUCUAUUGCUCCAGUUUGUGCAAAGUAUGAAGUUGUGCCUCAAGAUUUAGGGGUCAAAAUUUCACAAUCUGACUGGUUAUAAGCAUGACAAAGCUCAAACAGAUAUAAAGCAUUUGGUGAAAUAAGUCAUUUAUAAUCGGGUGUCAAAAUGCUUUUCUUGGAUACAUAAACACUUGCUUACUUUUCCAUUGAUAAGAAGAGCUACAAUGUUUAUGACUUGUGAAAAAUUAGGACAGAAUGGUACAGACUUAAUCUUCAAAAAAAGAACCUGUUUGCAUACACUUUCUUAACUGCAGGUUUCAACAAUCAAAUCUUAGAGAAGAGGCAAUAGAGGCUUUACUCCUUUGAAGGCUCAUUAGGUUGUUGAUUCUUUAUAGGGCGCGUCUUCUCUUUCGCUCUGACUUCUGAGUUGGUUUCUUAACCCUCUGUUGGGAUUCUGAGGCGCAUUUUUUGAGACUUCGUAAAGGGUUAUACUACCACUACUUUCUAUUGGGCUGAAUUCUUGUGUGACGAGGGGUUCGAGUAUCUCAAUGACUUGACUCAUGAGGGGUCUUCCUUUUGGGUUCUGACUGAGACAUUGAAAUGCCAGAUUGGCCACUUUCAUAAGAAUCUUGGUGGAGUACUGCCCCUCGAUUCUAGGAUCCAGUAUUCUCGAAAGCUUCUUGCUAUGGUUGAGGAGUGGACGUGCCCACUCCACAAGAUUAUGUUCUCGGCUUGGCCUGCUCUUGUCCAUCGCACGUCUUCCUAUAAGCAUCUCAAGCAGAACAACUCCAAACCCAUAGACAUCGCUUCUUGCUGUCAAAUGUCCUGAACAAUGUACAAAUGGAUGAUCAUUCAAUCACUAGUCAUAAACAAUGCAUUUAAAGAUGGUAAUAAGAGAUUUAGCCACAACUCGUCUAAGACUUAUAUCAAAGAGCAACCUACGCGUAAAUGGUAACAUCAGAUGUAGCGUUCAUAUCACGUCUGCCAUCACAAGACUCACCAGUCAUGACAUACUCAGGAGCAGCGUAACCAUAGGUGCCCAUAACCCGGGUUGAGACAUGAGUUUGAUCUCCCGUUGGCCCAACCCUUGCCAGCCCAAAAUUAGAAAGCUUUGCGUUGAAAUCCUGUGCUCGUUAUACACUUUAGCCACUGAAUGAUCGAUGGAGAUGACAAAAUUUUGCAUAACCAGAAGACAUUGUGAAAUCUAUGGGAUUCAUCAGUAGAAUUCCAUCCAAAUAUGUAACUCAUUUAUAAGACCUCAUUUGUACUAGUAAACACAUCUACUAACCUCAUCUAGCAAAAUGUUUGAAGUCUUAAAAUCCCUGUAAAUGAUAGUUUUUUCAACACCAUGAAGAAAAGCAAGCCCUCUCGCAGUAUCCAAAGCAAUCUUUAGUCUUCUAUGCCAUGUUAAUGUGGCUCGUACCCCUACAAGCAAAAACCACAGAAAAACUGUAAGGAGACUAACUAGGCUAAACCAGGUGGGAUAAAGAGCGCACACAGUCCAUCACACGUCUCUUUUAGUUUGAUGGUGCACUGUAAUAGCUAAUAUCUCCUUUAAUUUUUCAAAAACUAUGUUGGCAUCACAUAUAAUACAACCUCCAAUUUCAAAAUGAAUGUUCUUAUAAGCAACUUCGUUUUAGAUGGUUAUUGAAACCUCAGUUUUCCAUAUCAGGUGAUUGCUACACGAGUAAAUGAGUGAAAGAAUGCAAGUCACUCUCAGCUGAAACAAUUUCCCACUACUACCACUUACUAAAGAAAAGGUGUUUCUCGAGGCUCCCAGAUGCCAUAUAUUCAUAGACCAAAAGCCUAUGGUCAUCCUCGCAGCUGUAGCCAAUAAGUUUCACCAAAUUAGGAUGUCGGAGUUGGCCUAAAUAGUUUACUUCUGCCUGCAAAGGACAACUUACACAUUCAGCGAUAACUACCUUCUCUACAUUUAAUGAAUUAGAAAAAAGUUUCACUGAAUAGAUUUUUUAGAUUCGAGGCAGCAAAAGCAGUAGAGAUGGGUGCAGCCAUCCAGUCACUUAUUUGUCUAGAAAUUGAAAUAUUGUUCUGAUAAAAUUUCAAUUGCUGCUCUUCCGAUCCCAAUCAACAGCAGCUAAUUCUCAACCAAACAUAAUACAAGGACCAGGCUGCACUCCACAGAUACACGAUGGCUUAUCCCAUUUCAUACUUACUUUAUAAAACUAAUAAAAAGUAGAAUAUGGGAAAUUAAGUUUUCUGGUAAGUUAAUAUAUAUAAUGAAUAAUGGGAUUUGGCUUUCUAACCAUCAGAAUAAUAAACAAUAACUACCUGUGUUAUGCGUAUAUUAAAAAAAUAAAAGUAUUAAGCAUCCUACGGCGGAUAUCGGUGAAAAUCUCAUUUCAAUCAUUCUUCUUCUAAAGGCUGCGCCUAUACAUAUAUGAGGUUUGGGCUACAGAAAUACAGAAUUAAUCAAACCCACGCAAACAAAGAAGCGAGAUGGCGAUGGCUAGGCGAAGGGCGGUGAUGCUGUUCUCUGAGACAAAUUAUCGAACAUGUGGCGUUCGUCUGAAACGCAAGCCACCGAGCAUGACGUUCUAGCACCAGUCUCUGCAAGCGCAACCAUGACUAGGCAGAAGACAACGCCUAGCUCUCCUAUCUAUCUGCAAUUUUCAUUUUACUAUCAAUUUAAACACUAACACAUAUCAUACAUACAUGAUAUAUAUAGCAGGUUCUUGAUAAGAGUUUGAAGAUCAGUAUCUUUCACCAGCGAGAUAGAGGCGUAUUCCUCGACCCUCGUCAGCUUUUUCAGCUCUCGAACGAGUCGACUCUGUGAAGCUCUCCAAAGGCAAAUCGACGUGCAUGCUGACUUAAGUUAGCAUCUUCGAAGUUGACAAUAAACCCACUGAAUCAUACCUCCUCCUCGUUUGUUACAUCGAUGAUUUGUGAUGUUUCGUUGUCCAGCGGGAGGAGGACACCAAUAAAGGGAAACAAUUGAACAAUCGAUAAAUGAGGAAAAAAAAGGGAAAAUCGAAGGAGAAGGAGUGAUUUAUGUGAUGAGAAACCGAGGAGGGAGAAAUGAGGGGAAAUUUGAGCAAAAAAGUAAAUAAAUUGCCUACUUUUGGAGGGAUUUUUUUUCGUUUAGGCGGGAAGUGAUUUCCUUGGGGGGAAACAAAAUUUUUCAUGUCAUAUUAAUUUAUGGGGUCCAACCAUAAUUUAAAAGAGAUAUGUUUUAUAGCUCCAACUUAAAAACAACUCUUUUGUAUAUCAAAAUGAGUUAAAUGACUAAAACACCCUCAUAUUAUAUCAUUAAAAAAAAGGGAAUCAAGAUUUUCGUCCAAGUCAAGGAUGUGAAGAAGAUUUUACUUGAUAUUAAAGGUCCUAUCAAGAAGUAUAGGUAGCUUGAAGGAUCUAGAAUAUUUUGUCUUACUCAACUUUGAAACAUAUUGAGACUUAUUUUGAGACUUAUUGAGACAUAUUCCAUGUUAUUUAUUUUUAGUUUGGUAUGUUGUUCAUUCUAUUUGUUAUGUUGAUUUUUGUAUAUUAUUGUCUUGAGAAACAAAAGAAAAACACAAAAAAAUGUUGGUGGUUGUCGUGAUCAUGAUGGGGGCUUCCCAUCGUGGACACAAUGGCAGCCAUCGUGGUCACGACAGCGCCAUCGUGGGCCACGGUCGUGCCCUCGCCCCCGUCGUGCCCCGCCCUCGCCCACGCCCGCCAUUCGCUCCGUCGUGUCCACCAUCGUGUCCACGAUGGUAGGACACGAUGGUGGACACGAUGGCUCUCACGAGUCAUCGUGUGGUUAUUAAUAUCAUUUAAUUUCAAACUUAAAUAUGAUUAUUGACUUGUUUAAUGUAUUAUAUUAUGUUUAAAAUUAUAAUUUAGCAAUCAAGCUUGAUUUGUAAUAAAAAUUAAACGAGUUGGAGUUAUAUACAUCGAGAUCUAUGAAUAUCUACUUGAAAAAUACUUAUAACAUUUCAUGGAAUGUUAUAUAGUUGUCAUGACUCAUUUCACAAAAACACUUAAAUUAUGUGUUUUAAGACAAAAUGGUUUGAUUAACUAUGUAUAAUGUUGUUUAGAAGAUAUAUAACAUGUUCAAACUUAAAUUAGUCGAAUAUAACAUCAUAAAUUUUAAAAAUUUCAAACAAUAAUAACACACGAUCGUGUACCCGGUCGUGGACACGAUGGUGUGAUUGUGGUCACGAUCAUGGCCAUCGUGAACCACGAUCGUGCCCUCCGUUUCUCCUGCCCGAACCCAUCGCGGGCACGAUGGGUGCCUCCCAUCGUGAUCAUGAUGGGAGGUUUCCAUCGUGAUCUCGGCAAAUAACAUGGAAUAAAUCUCAAUAAGUUUCAAAGUUGGGUAACGACGGGGAAGACACGACGCGAGGGCACGAUCGUGCCCACGGUUGUGCCCACGGUGAGCUCCAUCGUGAGGUGUCAUUGUGGGCACGAUCGUGUCCACGAUGGUAGACUCACGACCAUAGGCACGAUGGCUCUCACGAGUCAUCGUGUGGUUAUUAAAAUCAUUUAAUUUUGAAUUUAAAUAUGAUUAUUGACUUGUUUAAUGUAUUAUAUUAUGUUUAAAAUCAUAAUUUAGCAAUCAAGCUUGAUUUGUAAUCAAAAUUAAACGAGUUGAGUUAUAUACAUCGAGAUCUAUGAAUAUAUACUUGGAAAAUACUUAUAACAUUUCAUGGAAUGUUAUAUAGUUGUCAUGACUCAUUUCACAAAAACACUUAAAUUAUGUGUUUUUAAGACUAAAUGGUUUCAUUAACUAUGUAUUAAAAUGUUGUUUAGAAGAUAUAUAACAUGUUCAAACUUAAAUUAGUCGAAUAUAACAUCAUAAAUUUCAAAAAUUUCAAACAAUAAUAACAUACGAUCGUGUACCUGGUGGACACGAUGGUGUGAUCGUGGUCACGAUCGUGUCCAUCGUGCCCUCCCAUCGUCGUGUCCUCCGUCCCCUCCCCCCAUCGUGUCCUCCCGUCCCCCGGCCCCGUCGUGUCCUCCGUCCCCCAUUCCCCUCGUCAUGUCCCCCGUCCCCCCCGGCCCGUCGUGCCUUCGGCCCAUCGAUGGCCGUGAUCGUGCAACGACCGUGCCCACGAUGAACAUCGACGGUCGUGCCCCCUGCCCACAAUGGACACGAUGGUCGGGGGACGGUCUUAUCGGCUGAGACAUUACCAUUGUGGGCACGACCGAGGGCACGAUCGUGCCCUCGCGUCGUGGCCUUCGCCCCCUUCCCCGUCGUCCCAUCGCUCCUCGCCCCCCAUCAUAGCCUUCGCCCCCUUCCCACCCCCAUCGCCCCUCGCCGGUCGCACCCCCUCGUUCGUGCCAUCGCCCAUCGCCCUCUUCUCCAUCGUGCGAUUGUGGGCACGACGUGGGCGACGGUCGUGCCGUCGUCGUGCCUCGUUGCCGCAGCCCCCUUCACCUCGGUCGUGCCAUCGUCGUCGCCCGUUGUGGACGCGAUGGGGGCUCCCAUCGUGGACACGAUGGUGCCGUCGUGGCCACGACCGUGGCCCACGAUGGCUGCCAUCGUGUCCACAAUAGGGGCGCCCAUCGUGAUCACGAUGGUGCCGUCAUGUCCACGACCGUGGCCCACGAGUUUAGCACAUUACUAACAUUGAGAAAACUGAAAGUUCUAAUUGUUUGUUAAAUAUAAGAUGAUUUUCUAAACACUAAUAUUUAUAUAAAUAAAUUAAAAUAUAGUAAAAUUUGGCUUAAUAUAUUUAGAACUAAUUCAUCUUGAUACGUCUGCAUAAUUUUUUUAUUUAUUCAACGUGGAAAAAUUAUCUUUUGUAUUAAAUUAAUGACAAUACAAAUUAUCUUUAUAUUAUAAACACUAAGCAUUUCUAUCAAAUAUAUGCUUUUUUAUAGCUGUAGACGAGAUGAUUCUCAAAAUUCACUUUUGAUCUUUCAAACUCUAAACGAGAUAAUGUUAAAAAGUUAGAGGUGGUCUAUCAAACUUCAUACAAGAUGUAUUCAAAACUUAAUUUUGGCUCCAAACAAUAAAUUGCUCUAAGUUAGAAGUGAUUUGCCAAACUCCAAACGAGAUGAUUCUUAUAACUAAAUUCCGAUCCUUUAAACUUCAAAUGAGAUCAUGCUUAGCACUCAUCUACAGUAUUUCAAGCUCCAAAUGAGUGAUGCUUAGAACUCAACUCCAGUCUAUCAAACCAUGGACAAGAUUAUACUUACAAAUCAGUUAUAGUCUUUCAAGCUCCACACGAAAUUAUUCUCACAAGCCAGUUAUGAUCUUACGAGUAUUUUGGUUUCAAACAAUAUGAUGCUCACAAAAUUAGCAGUGGUUUGUCAAGUUUCAAAUGAAAUGAUGUUCAUAACUUAAUUUCAACCUUUGAAGUUUCAAAUGAGAUAAUGCCUAACACUCAACUCCGGUCUUUCAAGCUCCAAAUGAGUGAUGCUUAGAACCCGGCUCAGGUCUCUCAAAAUAUAGACAAAUUUCAUAUAACAAGCUUUAGAUAAGAUAAUGAUUAGAUGUUCGACGUACAAAAGUCAAAUGUGAUAUUUCAAACCACAAACAAGAUGAUGCUCAAAGUCUUGUAAGAUUCGAGAUGACGUUCAUAUAUAAGAUGUGAUCUUAAAUUUUGUUUAUCAAUUUAUAAAAAUUAUACUCCUAUAAAAUUAGUAAAUCUUUCCUACACAUUAUAAAUAAAAAAUACGAUGUGUCAAUCCUUCAUCAUAUCAUAUGUCAAAUAUACCUAAUUUUUUUCUUCUUAUUUUUCUAAAUCUCCAACCUCACAUCAACUUUUUAUGAAAUUUCAUCAAAUAAAAAUUUAUAAAAAAANUUUCAAACCACAAACAAGAUUAUGCUCAAAGUCUUGUAAGAUUCGAGAUGACGUUCAUAUAUAAGAUGUCAUCUUUAAUUUUGUUUAUCAAUUUAUAAAAAUUAUACUCCUAUAAAAUUAGUAAAUCUUUCCUAUACAUUAUAAAUAAAAAAUACGAUGUGUCAAUCCUUCAUCAUAUCCUAUGUCAAAUAUACCUAAUUUUUUUUCUUCUUAUUUUUCUAAAUCUCCAACCUCACAUCAACUUUUUAUGAAAUUUCAUCAAAUAAAAAUUUAUAAAAAAAGACAAUCUAUUUUAACUCUCACCAAAAAUUAACUGACAAAAAUUAUUGACUAUCAUAUGCUAUAAUAAAAAAUAAUACUCCCUCCGUCCCUAAAAUAAGUUCUUCUUUUUCCUUUUUGGGACGUCCCAUAAAUAAAUUCCUCUUUCUUUCUUUCCAUUUUUGGACAACUACCCCACCACUAAUAAUACUUUAUUUAUUCUUACUUUUCACUUAUUCACCACUCCCAAUACUAAUUAUACCACUUUUUCACCUUUUCACCACUCUCAAUACUAGGGCUGUCUAAAUGGUUAUCGGGUUUUGGGUAUCCAAUUAACCGAACCGAAAUUCCCGGGUUUGGGUAUCCAAUAACCGAAAAUUUCGGGUAAUCGGUUAUUAUUUUUUUGGAAAUUUCGGUUAUCGGUUAACCCGAAAAAUCGAUCGGGUUAACCGAAUAACUGAAAUUAUUUUAUUAAUUAUUUAAUAUAUAUAUUAUCAAUAUAUCAUAUAUAAUAUAUUAUAUAUUUGUAAAUUAAUAUAUAAAUAUAUUUGUAAAUUAUUUAAUAUAUAUAUAUAUUUGUAAAUUAUUAUAUAUAUAUAUAUAUUAUAUAUAAUAUAUUUGUAAAUUAUAUUUGUAAAUUUACAUAUAUAUUAUAUAUUUGUAAAUUUACAUAUAUAUUAUAUAUUUACAAAUAUAUUAUAUUUGUAAAUUUACAUAUAUAUUAUAAUAUAUUUACAAAUAUAUUAUAUAUUUGUAAAUAUAUAUUAUAUAUUUGUAAAUUUACAUAUAUAUUAUAUAUUUGGAAAUUAUUUAAUAUAUAUAAUAUAUAUUUGUAAAUAUAUAUUAUAUAUUUGUAAUUUAUUUUAGAGUAGAUAGAGCAAAAAUUAUUUGAAUUUUAUUUUUUAAAUGGGUAUUUCGGAUACCCAAAUAACCCAAUUGGUUAACCGAAGCGGGUAUUGGGUAACUGAACUUCUAAAAUGGUUCGGGAACGGUUAUUGAAAUUUGGCAAUUUCGGGUUCGGGUAACCGAAAAUUCGGGUACGGGUAACCGAACCCGAACCGAUCGACAGCCCUACUCAAUACUAAUUAUAACAUAUUUUUCUCUACUAUCAAUACACUUUACAAUUUUUUCUUAAACCGUCUCCAAAGAGAAACUUAUUUUGGGGACGGAGGGAGUAUACAAUAAUAGUUACUCCCUCUGUCCCUAAAAUUUGUGGACCAAAAGAGAUGGCAUGAGUUUUAAGAUAAAGUAUGAUAGUUAUGUUUAAAUAGAGAUUGAGUUCCACACUUUUUUAUAAAUAAUGAGAGGAAAAUUUUGUGGGGUCAUUUCCAAAUAAAAAAAGACCACAUUUUUCAAGGGCGUCUCAAUAUAAUAAUAAAACCACAAUUUUUAAGAACGAAGAAAAUACAGUAUAAAGUGGUUCCCCGUCGAAUUUCGACGGGUUAAUAUUUUUAUUAAGUGACCUGCAGCGGUGGUGGUGUGUAAAUUUUUUAAAUUAAAUUGGUAAAGCAUAAAAAAGUUUCAAUGUGACCAAGAGAAAGAAGUACAUAUUUAAAUAUUUAAUAGAUGCAAUUAAGAUAAAGAUAAUAGAUGAGAAAUAUUUGAAAAAUAGGAUCUUUGAAUUUCUUAUUUUUAUAAAGUAAUUCAUCUUUUUUUAAAUAAUUAAAUCUUAUAGUUAAUACCAAUAUAAAAAUAAAAUUAAAUGAAUUAAAAAUCAGCCAAAAGGCAAUUCUCGACAAACGUGCAACUAUAGUUUGAAAAAGUAACUAAGGUAGAGCCAAUUUCUUUAUUAAAUAAAAUGUUUUAUUGAAAUUAAAAAUAUUUGCCACAUGGCAAGAUCUCAACGGCGAGCUGCAUUAAAGCAGUGGCACGAUAGAAGCACCCCAUUGGGGGAAGUAAUAUAGUACUCCAUACUUCAUCUAAAAAGACAAGACAAAAGUCAUACCGCAUGGGCCCAUACCCCACCUUUGAUUGCGAAGGUACUUUUUGGUUAGGAUUUUUGAUGGAAUAUUAACAAAUCUAAAUAUUUUAUUAUUUAAAGCUUAAUUAACAAUCAAAUUAAUCAAUAUAAACAUGAAUAAUCAAAUUAGUUCAGCAAGUGAUACGGAGCCACCUUUGGGCCUCCUAAUUUUUUUUUUUAAUUUUGUAAAAAAAAAUUAGUAAUGUUAUUUUAUUAUAUAUACAGUAUAAGUACAUAAAGUAGGAGGAUUUGUUGUUAAAAAAUUCCACAUAAAAUUUAUAUGUAUUUCAGAUUUUUUUUAAUCUAUAUUUAUAUGUAAUAAUUUUAUAUUUCAAAUAUUAUUUUUGAAAAAAUUCACAUAUAUAUAUACUUCAAUUUGAAUUUUUUAAAUAAAUAAAGUAAUCCACAUCAAUUACUCAAUAAAGAACUUGACUCUAAAAACACAUAAAUUUUUAAUUUUAUAUAAAAUGUAAUGAUAACUAUUGUUAUUAAACAAUUUAAAUAUUUUAUAAACAAUAGUAAAAUUAUAUUUAAAUGUUAACCAGAUAUAAUACUUAGGUGUUAUAUUUAUAUGUUCAAUAUUUACGUGACUUCAAAUCACUUAGUUUUUAUGAAAAAUAUGUAUUGUAAAGAUUUUCAUAAUGGCAUAUAACAUAGUUGAGUUAUGAUUUUUUUUUUUUCUAAAGUGUCAUUUUUAAUUUUUCUCCUAUAUGAAGAAAACCUUUUUUUUUCAUAAAUAAUAGAAGAAACACAUCAUUAAUGUUGAAGGGGAUGAGUAAAAACAUGUUCACAUUAAAAUAUGUCAUUUUAAAAAAAUUGAGCUAAUCGUGUAUAAAAUUAUUUUUUUUAAGACUAGCUCAUUAAUUAACUAUGUUUUCUUAUUAGUGAAGUUUAAAUUGGCCAGUAGGAAAACAAAUCAUAUUAUUACAACUUUUAAAAAUACUAAUAAAAAAUAAAGUAAGUGUUAUAUACCGAAAAAUGAACUCCAACAAAAUUAGAAUAAAAUAUUUAGAUUAAUUUAAGUGUUAUCCCGAAACAUAUAUACUUAUUUAAUUACGUAUAUAAUUUUAAUUUUUUCCUAAAAAAUCAAAUUUUAUAAAAUUUAAUUGAAUAUAAUUUUGAAUAUGUAAACGUAUAUUUAUCAUUAUUUGUGAAAUAUAAAAAUUAUUUGAUAAUGACGAUUAAUACAAAUUUUACUAUUAAAUAUAAUUUUUUUUAAAUUCUAAAGAUUUAUAAAAUGAACCAAUAUAAAACACAAAACUCAAUAUCUAAUUAUUUUCCUUUUGAAAAACACAAAAAUCAAAAGUACAUAAAAAUAUAAAAAAAACAAUAAAAUUUAUAAAUAACGAUUUUACUACUGUUCUCAUAACAAAAAUGUACAGCAAUACAUGUUAACUAUCCACAUGUAUCUAUAUAUAUAAAUAUAAUUUAUCAAAAUAAUUGAUUAUCUGUCUCAAUGGAGACUCGAAAAUUACAUAUCAAAUAUUUUAUUAACUAAAGUGCACGAUUUUUAGGAAAGAAAAAAAAGAUAAUAAAAAGAAAAGAAAGGGAAAAAAUUGUUAAAUGAAAAGAAAGAGAGUAUUUGAUUUGAUUUAUAUUGUAAACUUCACAUUAUACAUUUUUUCAAAAGGAAUAUGCAUUCAAAUACAUAUUAGCAAGAAGUAAUUGUCGGUACCAUCUAAAAAACAUAAUUUAUGACCAUUUUUAUAAUUUUGGUCAAAAAUAUCCUUGACCCCGCGGAUCCUACUCUCCCAGUCCAACCACGUACAGUGUUCUCUCUCUGUCUCUCUCCCCCCGCUCUUGGCACAAAUAGUAUAAUUAUGUCAAAUGUACCUAAUGAAUGACACAAUUGUCACGAAUUUACCCAUUUGUACCAAAUGUGUCAUCAUUCAAUCUUCAGUCACAUUUGACACAAAUGUGCAUAAUUGUGUCUAGUAUGUACUUAAUGAAUGCCACAAUUGGCCUGAAUUACCAUUUGUACCAACUGUACCAUCAUACUGCGUGCCCAACUCGAAGCCCAACCCACACGCAAACCCGAACGCGCUCCUAACUAAGGGCAAAACAGUCCUAAAACGUAAAAAUUGGUCAAAAUUUUUGUUUUUCAGAUGGGAGACCAAAUAUUGAGUUUCAUUGUUCAAUAUGACCAUCUCACAAGUUUACUCUUUUCAAAAUUGACAUUGAAAUUAAUUUCAAAUUAAAAUCUUGACUUUUUAAUAUAUUAUACUAGAAUUGAAGGUUUUAUCGUAUAUUAUAUUUUAUAUUUUUUUUUCCUCUUUCUUAUGUAUCCAUGAAUUGCAUAUUUUUAUAUUUAUUUUAUUUUUGUUCAUCUUUUUAUUAUUUUUUCUUUUUAAACUUGUGAAAUUCGCCCAAUUUUAAUAUAUUUGAUAUCAUAUCAAAUUAAAGAUUAAAGUUCACGACAAGAAAUUUAAUUUGAUAUAUUUUAUGUAGAUAAUGAAUUUAAGAUUUAAAUACAUGAGGACUAGUUUUUUAUGGAAACUUUUUUGCAGAUGUAUCAAACUUCAAACCUUUGCAAAAUAACAAAAGUCAUACCCCAUACCCCAUACCCCACACCCCACACCUUUGAUUGCGAAGAUACCUUUUUCUUUAGUUUUUUGGGAAACCAUCUUCACUCCAUUUUAGCAUUUUUCUUUUUUUGACUUUUAGCUAUGAUUUGAGAAAACCGUUAACAAUAGAUUCGAGGGCGGUUAAUUAGGAAGAUUAGUUUUGAUAGAUAAAAAAAGUAAAAUUCAUUCUAUUAUUUACUUUGAUGGAUUAUAAUUUUGAAAUAUCCCAAGACCUUAAUUUGAUUAUUUCUAUUAUUCAAAUUAUUUUUAUUUGAUUCAUUUUUCAUAAAAAUAGUUAAUCAUUCACAUAAUCAAUACAUGCUAAAGUUGGCCCAUAAAAUUCAGGUUCAUUUGAAUCCCGCGCAUGACAAAUGAAAAUUUAAAAUGCCUAAUUCUUUCUUUAUUUUUAUUAAUUGAGUUAAUUUUUCUUUAUUUUUAUUUUGUUAACAUAAUUUAUUCUUUCUUACAUUUAAGAAAAUUGGCUUAUUUCCCUCCAAAAAAAGAAAAAAAGAAAAUUGACUGAUUUUAAAAUAUCCAACACACCUAUAAAUUAAAGAUCUUGUUGAAGAUGUCAGAGGAGAGAGACUGUGUUAUCGUUAGGAACUUAGGAUUGAAAACUUGCUUCAUCAUUUGUCUAUACUUCUUUCACUCCCAAUGCCUAUCGAAGCUAAAGUAGAUCAACAUCUAAGGCUGGAGGAAAACAACUUUAAUUUGGUGUUGCACUCAAACAAAGUAAUUUUUCCAAGAACUUUCCUACAAGAGAACUCAAUUUUUUUUAAUCAAUAGUUCAUUUUUAGGGUGUGCUCAAUUUGAUAGAUAAAUUUAUCAUGGGAAAAUAAAGUAUAACAAAAAUUUAUGUCUUUAAAAAGUCUUUUUUUUUUUUUCAGAAGUUCACCAUUUUUUCUUUCUUAUUUUCACUUCAAAGAGAGACAACAUUAUCUCUCGAUCUUGGUGUGGUAAUAUUAUCCAUUUUAAAGUGAAAAUAAGGAAGAAAAGGUAGAGAACUUGAUCUCUUUUGUGUAAAAUAUGGGAAAAGAAAUGAGACAUUUAAAAUUAUAAAUUUUGGUCAUUAAUUCUUUAUUUUUCCAUGAUAAAUUUAUCCAUGUGAACGUACCCUUAGGGUUAAUUAAUUCAUCGUAACUAAAUUCCAUUCCUAGCGGUAAGAGGGGAUUUAGGCCAUAUAUAUAUGCACUUGUAGGAAACCAACAUGAAAUUUCCAUUUCUUAAUUUGCCAAUGCCGACUAGUAGGAAAGCAACAUGAAAUUUCCAUUUCUUAAUUUGCCAAUGCCGAUUUACAAUUUUUUUUUUCUUUUUCUCUAAUAAAAAGAAAUUAAAAUAGGAUGAAAUAGAACUAUAAAUAUACAAUUAAUCGAAGAAAUUAAUCAAAACCAAGUCUGUCUUUUCCUUCAUCCAUCAUGUUUCCGCACAUCUCUCUCCACAAUUCCGCCCCUUUGAAGUUGCUGAUUUUCUCUCUCAUCCUCUCUUCCUCUCUCACCAAAACUACCUCCGUCGCCGCCGUGCCGGGCUGCCAUGGAAAGUGCCUCGACUCCAACAUCCCUUACCUGUUGGGGAUGUUCGUGCUGGUUUCCCUCGUAAUUGGGAGCACUUGGAUCGUCUGGUCGAAGCGGCAAAAGAAGCUCGAGCACCAUAGAAUGAGCUUGUUCGAUAGAAAUGGCGGAAACAUAUUGAAGAAGAAGCUAUCCCAGCGCAAGAGAUCUGCGCACCUCAAAAUAUACACAGCUCGGGAAAUGGAGAUCGCCACCAACAAUUACAGCGACACCAGAUCGGUAAUGCAGAGGUGCAAGCCGGGGAAAUUCUACCGCGGAACCUUCGAGAACAAUCGAGAGGCCGUCGUGAUGAAGCUUCCGUCGCCGGUGCCGCAGUCGAGAAUCGAACAGUUCGUCGACGAGGUGAUCUUCCUCUCCGAGGCCCACGGGAAUCUGGUUAGGGUUUUGGGCUGCUGUUUGGAGACGAGCUCUCCCUUGGUAGUUUACGAGCUCCACGGCGACGGCAACCGCACCCUCGCCGACUGCUGCACGCGCGGCGGCGCGUGCGCUGGCAUCCUCCGGGCGGCGGUGAGGGGGCUCGCCGACCUGCGGUCGCGGAAUGCGAGGGCGGCGGGGUUCCUCCACGGCAACUUCUGCGGCGGCAACGUUUUGUUGGAUGAUUCUUUUGAUGCGAAGCUGUUCUACGCCGCCGCCUCCGGCAACCUCGUCGCUGAUCGAGAUCGUGUUGGUUUCGAUGACAAGGACGUGUGUAGCUUCGGAGCAGUGCUGGAUGAGCUGCUGUCGACGCGUCGGAGGGCGCCGGAGAGUGACGGGGAUCUCGCCACGUGGCUGCUGUCGGAAGAUUCGGAAGUAGUUUAUGUGAAGGAGGUUGCCGCCAUGGCUGCGAGAUGCAAGAGUGUGCUGCCGGAGGAGAGGCCUACCUUGUCUGAAUUGGAAGCUACGCUUAGUAGAUUGAUUGGAAAUUUAUAGAGCACAACUAGUUGCUAAUACGUUUCUGUUAUGCUAUUUUGUAGCCUUAAAUCAUAUUUGACUAUUUGUAAGCAUUGAUUCCAUCGUGUACAGUUUUAAAUAGAGAAUCAGAUCUGAUCAAUGAAAAACAGUUUCCAUUUCCACUUUUCAUAUUCUUAUUCUCUCAUGGCUACUGUUCAGCCAUAUUUCCCCUCGAUCCACCUAAAGAUUUGAGGAUGUGCUUCUUCUCCCAAUAUCGCUCCGCUGCAAUUCAAAAUUCGGACUUUGAUAUGGCUACGUUAUGAUCAAUUUAUUUUCAGUUGGAUUCUUGCUGCGAUCUCUCAUUCAAUGAUCGGAUAAAAAUAAUUUGAAUAAUAGAAAUAAUCAAAUUCAAAUUCAACUCCAGACGCUAGUGAUGAUUAUAUUUUGAAAUUUCGAGGCAUUUCUGAUCAGUUAUCCAAUAUUGGUCAACAAAUUGCAGAAACUGAUUUUUAAAUACCCAUGUCCCAAAGAAAUAAGACAUUUAUAAUUGAAGUAAUAUUUUAUUUUAAAAUAAAUAUUAAUUCAAUAAAGAAACUAAUAUUAGGAGACAAAUGAUUGGACAAAGAGUUGGGACAUCUGAUUCUAACGAUAGGACAAUAAAGAAACUAAUAUUAGGAGACAAAUGAUAGGACAAAGAGUCGGGACAUCUGAUUCUAACGAGUUUCCUGAGGGUUAUAGGGUUUAGGAGUGAGAGGAUUUUUUAGGACAGUAACUUAUGUUAAUUUGGAAAUUAGGACAAAAACUUUUUGACUUGUAAAAUUUUUUUAGAGUAAAAUAAGACACUAAUUAAUAAGCGUCGUAAAAAUAAGACAUUUCUCGGCCGAGAAUUGGUCUGACAAAUGUCCUGCGGGUGCAACACUUAUUAAUUAGUGUCAUAUUUUACUCUAAAAAAAUUAGUGUCCUAUUUUUAUAAGUCCGAAUGUUUUUGUCCUAAUUUUCAAAUCAACCUAAGUUACUGUCCUAAAAAACUCUCGAACUCCUAGGGUUUAGUACAGUACGUAUAAAAGUAUAAUAGCACAUCUAUUAUUAUUUUUAGGGGUAUUAGCCUAUAAAUAUCCGAACUUUUUCUAUUUUCUGAUUUUGCACCCUAACUUUAAAAUUUGCCUGAAAAUACCCGAACUUUAUAUUCUUUCUGAUUUUGCACCCAACGAAUUUUCACCCCCAAAUCGUUAAUAAAAUGGCAGUCGGAUUGAGAGGCAAGUUUGAAUUUCAUAACGAAACAAAUAAGUUUAUUGUCAAUUUGAGAUCUAAAACAUGUAAUUGUAGAUUUGAGAUGUCAAUCCGGCUAUCAUGUUAGCAACAAUUUCGAGGUAAAAUUCGUUGGGUGCAAAAUAAAAAAGAAUACAAUGUUCGAGUAUUUACAGAAAAUUUUUAAAGUUCGGAUGCAAAAUAAGAAAAUGGAAAAAGUUCGGGUAUUUAUAGACCAAUACCCUUUAUUUUUAUAUGAAAGGCGAUGGUAAAAAGAAUUACUAGUAACUACUCCCUCCGUCCCACUCCAAUAUGCUCGUUUUCCUUUUUGGGACGUCUCACUCCAAUAGGCCUAGUCUAAAAUUAGAAAUAAUUAGGGCUCUAAUUAAAAUUAUAACUAGUUACUUAAAGGGGAUAUACACCCCUAAUUAAAACCCUAAAAACUCUCAUUCACGUUUUCCUCCCACCUCUGCUCAAAAUUCUUUGUCGCCACUUCCCAAAAUUUGGCGACUGGUCGCGCCUCAACGGCUCUGAAACUCCGGCCUCUUUUCUCAUUCGGCCCUCUUCCCGAUUCUCCAGAAAUUGCCCACCGGAACAAGCCCUAACUCUAGUAACCUCAAGUGGAACUCAAUUUGGAGCCCUAACUCUCCCCUCUUCCUCAAUCUCAACGGAAACACACAAUUGUGGGAAAAAUGUCGAGCCCCAACUUCUCCGAUCGAGCCUCUCUCUUUCUUCCUCUUGGUUCAGGCAAAGUCGCCUCUGUAACUUCGGACGAAGUCGACGCCGCUCUUCGGCCUGUGAAAUUGUGAAAUUCGCCUCAAUAAUUUAACCUCUUAUUUUUCUAUUUUAUUUCUUUUUUAAAAUUGUGAAAUUCGACUAAUUAUAAAAUAUUUGAUAUGUAUAUCAAAUUAAAGAUCAUGACAAGAGCUUUAACUUGGUAUAAGUUAUGUAAAUAUUGGAUUUAAAAUAUAAAAAUUAUAUUUAUUUAAAAAUUAAAACUUAAGAAAUUUCUCCCCUCCUCCUCCUCCUCUUUUUUUUUUGAAUAAUCUAUUUUUUUUCAAUUUUUUAACUUAUAUUUUUUCUUUUUUACAAUAUCAAUUUUUAUAAUAUGAAUUAUUCUUUAUUAUUUUUAUAUUAAACUAAAUUAUUAUCUUAAAUUAUAGUAUUUUUAAUUAUAUUUAGAUUUUAUAUAAUAAUCAAAUUAAUAUAAAUUUUAAAUAUAAUAAAAUAUAAAAAUAUUUUUCGUGCGUUGCACGAGUGUAAAUGCUAGUUAAUAUAUAUUUUAAAAUUUGAAUUGAUAUAAAAGUAAAUCCAGCAGCCAAAAGGAGUGAAGUGAUCCAAGCUAAUUCGAAAAUCGAUUCGAGAGAAAUGCGAACUUAAUUUCGAAAUACUCGAAGUAAAUCUGAAAAUUUAUCGAAUCGAGCUCGAACUCAAGAUCAAACUAUAUUUGACAUUUGAAAAAUAAGGAGGCACGAUAGAACAUACAACACCAUGUAAUUAAUUAUUUGGUACACGAAUUUAUUUAAUUAAACGCUUAGAGCAUUACUAUAUAACAAUAACAAGAUCAAUGAGAAAGCCUCCGUCAAAAGAAACAUCUCAACAAACUCAUCCAGCAAAAAAUGCAAUAAAAUUGUUUUAAAAAUGGAUAAUUUUCCAAAAAUUCAUCAUCUUUGAGACAACUUUGUUGACACUAUAUUUAAAAACAUUCCAAUAAUAAAAACAAAAUAAAAAAAGCCAAUAUUCAUUAGUAUUUAUUAAGAUUAAGAUAUACAUGCAAGCUAAAACACACAACAUGUUAAUUUACAUUGCAGAUAAGAGCAACCAUUUCUUGUAAGAAAGCAUAGAAACAACUGUAUGAAAAAUGGUUAGUAUGAGAAGCACAGCAGCUGAUAUCUUCAAGUAAUUCCUCCUCACUCUUGCCAUCCAUCUCCCACGUCGAAGCCGUUUGCAUCUGUUCAAACUCUCAAACACAUUUGAAUAGCAAAAAUCUGAUGAUGAACCACAACAUUCUUCCCCAAUCUGUUGAACAUGCUGCAGAUCAUCUCAUCACUGCCUAUGAAGUUGCUGAUGACCCCACUUCGUCGUAGUAUCUCAACAUCUUUGGUGGAUCUGAUGAAACAAUGUAUGAAAAACAAGUAAUCUUUCACAUACCUCGGAUGAUCAUCAGGGAAGAAGCAGAGCUCGUACGCGAUCAAGUUCCUCAACAUGGACUCAGUCUUAUCUGAUAUGCACAAUGUGGGAGUUUAUGACUCCAUUGGCAAAACUGAUAUCCUUAGAGUGAUCCUCUCGACCCGUGUAGCCUAAUCCCGGCCUCCUCCAUCUCCGAGGCAGAGCACGUGUUGUGCACCGUGUUGCUACCGUUGUUUUCAGUGAAGCACUUGGCUGAGAAUGAGAAUGAGAAGAAAGAAUCAUACACUAGGCCUAAUAUAUGCUCAGCAUUGUGCAACAUUUCUGAACUAUAGUCGAGCUUUGAGGAAUCCGGCCAUGGGAGCACGUCUCCGGCUAGAAAGAGGAGGAGAUGGUGUAUGUUAUCGUCUGGAUGUUCCAUCCUUGUCAUGUCGAAAAGCUCGUUCAACACGAAGAAAGGGAGCUGGUUCUCCAACAACAGAAGAUCAUGCCUUAUUUGGACUAACAUGUGAUCAAAUUGAAAUAUUUGAUCACUCAUGUCUCUCAAAUCACUAAACCAAUAGCUUCUCAGCAGCUCAAUCACGAAGCAUCCAUCAAGAAGCAACAUCUCCACGAACUCAUCUUGAUCAAGACUGAUUGAUUUCGCGUAGUAAAGGCGAGCCUUUUCCUCCAUGCUCCUCACUUCCAACACACAUUUCUCAACACUCAACUCAUCCCUUCUUCCUAAUGUUUUUC